UACUCUCCUGAUUGGCUGGUUAGGGUAGCGAAGGACAAAUUCUUCCAUAUUCCAGCAUCAGAAAUCCUAACCAAUGAUUACCUUCAGGAAAGUAUGGAUAUGAUCAUGAAUAUGCUUUGCCCUCCAGGAAAAAAAAUUGAUACAUAUCCGUGGUUGGAAUGCUUCAUCAAAUCGUAUAAUGUCACAAGUGGAACGGAGCAGCAAAUUUGCUAUCAGAUUUUUGACACCACAGUUGCAGAUGAUGUUAUCUAAUAUUGACAUUCAACUUAGCAUAUGUAAAAUAUUGUAAUUUUAAAAACAUUAUUAUUUUCUAUGAGAUUGCUAUCAACAUGUAAAAGCUUUAGCUCAGUAGUUUAUUUUCCAUUGUAACCACUAUUUCAUUAAAAAAAGUAGACAUUGUGUUAUCUUAACACCUUGUUGUAAGUUGAAAAUGUUCCUGUUACUCAGAAAUAUCCAGUAUGAUGGCUGCUAGGGUUAUAAAAGAAAGAGAGACAAUGAAUAAAUAAAGACUUUCGCUUACUCUUCGUAGA